rnacentral:tRNA from 1 species
GGGGAUGUAGCUCAAUCGGUAGAGCAUUAAUCAAAGCAUGCUAAAGGUGCGAGGUUCGAUUCGAUUCCUUGCAUCUCCA